rnacentral:rRNA from 1 species
UACGUAGGUGGCAAGCGUUGUCCGGAUUUACUGGGCGUAAAGGGCGUGCAGGCGGUCUGUUAAGUCUAGGGUGAAAGCUCCCGGCUCAACUGGGAGAGGUCCUUGGAUACUGGCGGACUUGAGGGAGGCAGAGGAAAGUGGAAUUCCCGGUGUAGUGGUGAUAUGCGUAGAUAUCGGGAGGAACACCAGUGGCGAAGGCGGCUUUCUGGGCCUUACCUGACGCUGAGGCGCGAAAGCUAGGGGAGCAAGCAGG